rnacentral:rRNA from 1 species
CCUACGGGGGGCAGCAGUGGGGGAUAUUGCACAAUGGGGGAAACCCUGAUGCAGCGACGCCGCGUGGGUGAAGAAGGAUUUCGGUAUGUAAAGCCCUUUCAGCAGGGAAGAAAGAAGCCGGUACCUGACUAAGAAGCACCGGCUAACUAGGUGCCAGCAGCCGCGGUAAUACGUAGGGGGCGAGCGUUAUCCGGAUUUAUUGGGUUUAAGGGGAGCGUAGGCGGAAUGCCAAGUCAGCGGGAAAAUCGCGGGGCUCAACCGCGCUGCGCCGUUGAAACUGGCGUUCUUGAGUGGGCGAGAAGUAUGCGGAAUGCGUGGUGUAGCGGUGAAAUGCAUAGAUAUCACGAAGAACUCCGAUUGCGAAGGCAGCAUACCGGCGCCCAACUGACGCUGAAGCACGAAAGCGUGGGUAUCGAACAGGAUUAGAUACCCCGGUAGUC